rnacentral:rRNA from 1 species
UACGAAGGGUGCGAGCGUUGUUCGGAAUUACUGGGUGUAAAGGGUUCGUAGGCGGUGUGGCAAGUCGGGAGUGAAAUCCCUGGGCUUAACCCAGGGGCUGCUUCCGAAACUGCUGUGCUUGAGUGUGGGAGAGGCGCGUGGAAUUGCAGGUGUAGCGGUGAAAUGCGUAGAUAUCUGCAGGAACACCCGUGGCGAAAGCGGCGCGCUGGACCACUACUGACGCUGGGGAACGAAAGCUAGGGGAGCAAACAGG